rnacentral:rRNA from 1 species
UACGUAGGAGACGAGCGUUGUCCGGAGUUACUGGGCGUAAAGGGUGCGCAGGUGGCGGCGCGCGUGGGGGGUGAAAUCGCCCGGCUUAACUGGGCGGGGGCCUUCCAGACGGCGUGGCUUGAGCAGCGGAGGGGGACGUGGAAUUCCGGGUGGAGCGGUGAAAUGCGUAGAGAUGCGGAGGAACACCGAUGGCGAAGGCAGCCCCCUGGGCUGACACUGACGCUCAGGCACGAAAGCGUGGGGAGCAACAGGAUAG